CCUAAAAUGACAGAUAAAUGUAUAGGAUUUAAGCUCCUACAAUGAAGGAAUCUCUUCUUUUAGAA
rnacentral:tRNA from 1 species